GUUUCACUAGCGAAUGGCUGAAGUUUCAGCAUAAUGUAUUAUGUUCAUCGUUGACUUGUGAAGUUAUCCUUAAUACUCUUACACGGAUGAAGGUUAAUGCUAUCCUAAUAUCAACAUUUUAAUACAAAAAGGCAACUGAUAAUUCCUUCUGAUAGCACUGAAACGAAACCGAACGAGGUGAGGCAGAAAAUAACAGCCUAGGUGGAUACCUUUGUAACAGCCAUCUAUGGAGGGGGUGACCAGUCGGUUGGGCGUUUAGUAUCUUAUAUCCUUGUGAUUGUGUCGGGAGUGUUUCCUUGUUCAGCUGCUCAUGUGGAUGCUGCAGGACUAACAUGACAAGCUUUUAUACAUUUUGAACUCACGUCAGAGUUCCAGGGCAAGUCUGUUUUCGAUAUGAAAACCAGAUGUGAGACUAGACGAAAUCCAGGAAUGGCUGAAAUUUAUAAACCUGUAAACACAACUACUGCAAAGACGCGCGAGGCCUUCGGUACUGUCAUUUUUUGGCCAUAUGGAAAUGAAACACAUUUUCAUGAUGAAUUGAUGGAGAAGCUUAUUUUAAAGAAAUAUAAGAGGGAAGUUAUAAAUACGUUCUAAGUGGGAGAGACAAAACAAGAGGAAGUCGUAGCGAUGAAACGGAAUAAAAACUGCCAUCUUAGAUGCUGUGGAGGUUCAGACGAUGACAGAACUGACUGAGAUUUGCAUUAAUUCGGCAGAAGUAUUGUGAAUACUGCUCCCCACCACCCCACGCCUCCCGGGAACCACCCAGGGACGCAUGCGCAUUGAUGGUACCGUUAGAUGCUCCAUUUGCGAAGUUCAGAAGAAUAACAUGAACUACUUUGGAACAACAAUGGAUUCCUCUCUUUGCGGGACGCGAGUCGAACAAAAGAAGAAUAGCAGAAACAACGGAGUCUUUCGUGGAGAUCGGGUAAUUUGAUCUUCACAAAGAAAGAAGAGAGAGAGAGAGAGAGAGAGAGAGAGAUGAAAUAAUUUUACGAUUCGCAUUGCGCCGUCUGGGUCCGCUUGUUUUGUCAAGAAGUGA